GAUUAGUCUUCAAAUAUCGAAAAGGAGGACAUGUAGGAGGACACUUUUCGAGGGAGGACAGAACUCACAAAAGGAGGACUGUCUUCCCUAAAGGAGGACAGUUGGUCACCUUAGUUGAUAGGGCACAAAAAGUCUAGCCACAUCUUCUCCUUUAUGGGGUGCUACAGAGCUCAGCACACUCUAUUCUUCUUUAACAUCUACAUGAAGCCUCUGGUGAGAUCAUAUGACACCACAGGAUGAGGUGUCUUAAGGUAAACUAAUGUUACUCAAGUAUACAUCUCCAUCCUGGAUGACCCAAGUAUUGCUGUGGCUGCCCUCUCAUGGUACCUGGAGGCUGUGGGGAUCUGGAUAGAGGACAACAGACCUCAGCUGAACCCUAGUAAGACAAAGUGGUUGUGGGUGCCUGGAACCUCAAGAUCUGGGAGCUCGUUUUUAGUUUUGGAUUGUUAUACUAUUCCUGAGAGACUCAGUGUGGAAUGGACUCACAAUUCCUGCUCUGAGCAUAUAACACUUGUGACUAGGAGUGCCAAAGUUGUUCACCAGUUGCACUCUCUCCUGGAUUGUGAGGCCCUGCUCUCAAUCACUCAUGCCCUGGUCAUCUCUCUAAGAGCACACAUAACAGUGCCAUUAUGCAAACUCCAUUGAUAUCAACUUUGUUUCCAAGUCCAAUUCAAGGAGGUUGGUUAUCAUUAUCUUUAAAGCCCUUCAUGGCACAGGACCAGGUAUUCUGAGGAACCAUCUCACUCCAAUGCUGUUGGUCUGACCCACUUGAUCCAGCAGGAGGGGCAUGCUGUGGACCCCAUUGAUCAAAGAAUUUCAGCUGAUGAGGUCUAGAAGGAGAGUUUUUUCUGUCGUGGCCCCUGCUUUUUGGAAUAUCUUGCACUUUGAGGUGAGGGUUUUUUGGCCUCCUGGAAGGUUGUUUAAACCUGGGGCUGCAGGUUGGCCUAGGGUCCAGACAGAGGUGCUGUAGGUUGGAGAUGGGUGGUGGAUCAACAGGGAAGAUACUACCACCCUAUCAAUCUUGCCUUUUGCUUCUUGUCUCUGUAUCUAAUGUUCUUUAAAUUUUAGUAUCUUUUUAUUUAUGAUUUUAGUUGUAAGCCACUCAAGAGUUCUUUUUAGCAUGAGAUGGGUGGUAUAUAACUUUAAUAAAUAAAUAAAAAUAAAUUAAUUAAAUCCAAACCAGCUGGAGGUGCUAUUUAAUAAGGAGAAAGCUGGACUCAGAGAUGGUGAUGAAGCUAGUUUUGAAUGCGGCUAUACUGCCUCAGAAAAAGCAGGUUCACAAUUUGGGAAUGGUCCUUGUUCCCCCAGCUGUCACUGGAGUUGCACAUAACUGUGUCAAAAUAUUUGCACAAUGGUGGCUACUGAACCAGAUGUGAUACUUUUGAGUUGAUUGAAUUUGGCAACACUUACUUGGCUAUAACCUAUUUUAAAGAUCACAAUAUAUCCUACGCAUUGAAAGGAUUAUGGACAUUGCAAUUAGAGCAAAACAUGAUGACCAAGUUGCUACUCAGUGCAAGAUGUAAUACGUGACAUUCAUAUUAAAUAAUUGCACAGGCUGCAAAUUGAUUACUGGAUACAAUUUAAGACGUUGACCUUUAAAGUCUAAAUGGUUUGGGGUCUAUUCAUUUGAGGAAACAAUCAAUUUCAUCUACUAUGAACAUGCCUGAUUACUUAGAUCUGCAGAUCUUCUCUUCUGAAGAGAACCCUGUUGCCAAAAGCUCAGCUAUCUGGUACAUGAGAGCAUUUCUUCUGUAUAACUUCCAGGCUGUAGAGCAGGGGGUCUUCAAACUUGGCCCUUUUAUGACUUGUGGACUUCAGUUCCCAGAAUUCCUCAGCCAGCAUGGUUGGCUGAGGAAUUCUGGGAGUUGAAGUCCAUAAGUCAUAAAAGGGUCAAGUUUGAAGACCCCUGCCAUAGAGAAUCUCUUCCCCAGUGAGGUACAUUAGGCCCCCAUUCUCCCAGUAUUUAGGAAAAUGGCACAAAUCUCUCCGUUGCCGACUUUUCAAAUUGUUAAAUUGUUUUAAUCACAAUUUUAAUACUGAUUUGAUUAUACUGUUCUUUUACAAUUUAUGCUUCUUUACCAGCUAUUUUGAAGAGAACAUUGGGGCAGAUGGUGGCCUCUUUCCUCACUACCCAUCCCCAUAUAAUUCAGCCUGCAGAAAUAUAGUAAAUCCCGGUACUUACUCUCAGGAAAGUAAAUAUAAUGUUGCAGUUUCAGAUAUGAGUGUUUAUUGGGUGUGUGUGCGUGAAAGAAAUUAAAUGGCUACACACACAACAGAAUGAUGUAAUGGUGCAUGUUAUGUAAUGAUGUUGUUUAUGUAAUGAUAAUAUGGCAUAUGUCAGCAUUUUGACAUUAUCAUGGCUUUUUAACCAACAGGGCCGGGGCUUUGUUUACACAGGCUUUGGGGAGGGGGGAAAUAAUUGCAAGCAUUUACCUAGCUGGAUUUUUAUAGAAUGCCUCAAAAGGGGUGUGAGUAAAAAUGAUAUUAAGUGCCCCAAAGCAUUUGAACUUGCAAGGACCUGCAGGAUUUCAUUUCAUCUUUAUCUUGGGCUUCUCAUCUUCUUACAGCAGACCAUUUGGCAAUGCAAACCUCUUUUUGGAUCCUCACUGCUUUUUUGGAGGAUAUUACAGAAGCACAGCACAGCCCCAAUCCCAGCAUCAUUAAGAUUUUCAGCAAUGCAGACUGAGUAUUGCAUAAAAAUGUGCACAAGAAGCAUCGCUCUUUGCCAAAUGCUACAGCAUUGCUAUAAGCUGCAGUAACCAUCAGAGGGCCUCCUGCUCUUUCUAUGCUGACCAGGCUAUCAUAGUGUUGCUUGCUGGGAAGCAGGACAUAGAAUUAUGUAAUUUGAGAGCAAAGGCUACUUUCCACAUGGCUUGGAGUGCCUGCUAAUAUGGAAUGCCAUCUGGUACAGGCUUCUGAAUAAAUCUUUCUUUGCAGCUCUGUCAGUUCCAGUUUAUUUUUUUAAAAUGUAUUUUUAUUAGUUUUAAUUAUAUAAGACUGCUAGUGCAAUAAAAAAAAAUAACUUUGACCUGGAUACCACAAACCUCCAUUUUGCUGAAAUACAUGACAAUCAAACAGCACUAAUACAGUACAUAUCCAGAGACAGAAUUCGAAUUACUCAUUAGACCUGAUCAAUAGGGAAGAGCAGAGGUUGGAAUGGAAUUUACUGGCACACUGAUGGAGAGCAGGAAAUAUUUCAGGGUCUUACCCAUUGAGCAAUAGCAUCCACAGAAAUUCCACCCACCAAUUCUCAGUUAGAAGGUUGGAAAGGCUAUUUUGAUGUAAAUCAGAGACUUAUAUCUGUUUCUGUAGAUCAGGUGGAGUUCAAAAUUUACAAAAGGCAAUUGAUUCUGCCAGCUGCUGUUUUGCAUAUAUUGGUGGAUUUCAAAUUCUAGCAGCUGUUUUAAAAAAGACUAAACUGCAUUCAUAAAUUGUACUCAUGCCUAAUGUAUAUUUUCUAUGUGUACCUGCUGGGGAUGAUGGAACUUAUUUAUGCCAAAUGUUUUCCUUUUCACAACAAAACUUCAAUAUUCUAAUUGACCUAAUUUAUCUUCAGAGAGCUUUUAUAUAAUUGAAAUACAGAUAAGGUGAAGCAUUGAAUGACUGCUAUUUCUCUUUUGACAGUUCUAAAUUGAUUCAGUUGUAUUUUUAAUUUGACAUCUAUGUAUUCUUUUUUUCUACCAUUUGAUUCCAAACUUUCUGACAUUUUCUGAGAAGAUAUAGCCACAGGUAAAGAUUGUGAGGUAAUUAUUUCUUGCCCAAUUUACUGUGCCUUGUUCUACCCCAUUAAUCAAACCAACAAAUGGUGCCCGCUCUUAUUGAUUUAACAGGAGGUUAGUGAAGGAAAGCUCUCUGAGGAUUUUUCCAGUUUCUUCUACCUGUUGUGUUGCAGAAAGAAGUGCAACAGGUCUCAGCUCUAAUCUGUCAGCUGUAUCAUUUCUGAGCAAAGACCCAUCAUAUCAGGAAGAGUAUUAAAUCCAUGUUCAAAAGUAAUCCCGCCAAUAGGUUGUAGGUGAGGAGGAAGGCAUGUCUGGAAUAAAAGCAUCAUGAGAAUUUUCCACCCACCCCCAUUUCAUCCCACACUGUUGUGCCAUGUCUAUCACCUGUUGGCCAACCUCUCUAGUUCCUUUGCAGUGAUUUCCUUAGUGCUAUUUCUCUUCCAUUACUGUUAUAACCAAUGUCAAAUGCAGUGUGGCAAAUCUUUGCUCCCAUGAUAACAUGUAUUGUUCCAUGGGACUUCAGUUCAACUGCACAGUUCCCCACUGUGAACAGAACUGCUAGGGUGAGGUAGUACUUGUGGGAGGAAAACACAAUGGUGGCUCAUAUUCCUGUCACUGGGUGGUAUCUUGGUCACCAGCACACUUCUCAGUCAGCCUUGACAUACAACAAAAAAAUCAGGAAGUUGUGGAAGGGAGGGUGUGUAAAUAUUCUUGAUCAGGUGCUAAGCAAAUUCAAGAAGCUACAAAUGUAUUUAUUUCAACUACAAGAUGGGCAUGAUGGCAGGCCAUAAAUCUAGCACUGCCCUCCUCUCCUUUGGCAACAGGAAGACAGGUUGAGGGGCCAGUGGCAAACCGAGCAGGAUGAUCAACACCUGUUACGUAUGGAGAGAUUGCUCCUAGGUAUCUUUCAGCCUAUUAAGAUCUAACAGUACAUGGGUUUGUGAUGCAGAUAUUAAAGAACAGGAAUUUUACUGUACUUGUUGCUUGUGAAACCUGAAAAAAAUAAUUCACACACAUCAGUACAAAAGCAUUCCGGAUAUGUGGCUGUCACUUCCUUAGGUUGCAACUCCAUGUCUUUUCUGCAGGGUCCUCUGGAUGGAUUCAGCAAGUAAAAAUAGCAGGAGCUUGAGGGAUAUUUAGACAGCUUUGAGAUGAUGCAGCAGACCCAGGAUUGACUCCACUGAAGGUUCACGUUGCUUCUAGGUCAAACUUCAGGCUCCACAUAGUCCAAAACAAGAAACCCUUUGUUGUUCUCACCUGAACCAGCUGAUGAUCCAAAAAAGACCAACAAGCAAAGUACUUCUGCUUGAAGCAAGCCAGUUGAAAGUGAAGGAGAUAAUUUCCCCACUACCCAAAUUACAAAUGAAGGCCAUACAAUCUGCUUGAGCCAAGUUUACUUGAACAGCACUGGGGAUAAACUACAAGGUUCUGCUCACUCAAGGAGGAUAAAUCUUUAUAUAGUUGUAUAAUAAAUGCUGACCAGUAAUAAUAUCUAAGACCAAUCACAACAUGGGUUAGAGUUUCUGUUAAUAGCGAGAUAAGCAGAAUAAUAAAGUCAGUUUUUGUGUUAGUUACUUUCUAGUUUCCAUCUAAAAAUAUAAGUGCUGAUUUAAACUAAUUUGUGAGUCAGCAUCUGUAAAUGCUAAGCCUAAAAAGCUAUUAAGUAGGCUUUCUUGAGUUAAGGGCAUUUGGAGGUUUUAGUCCAGGUAUUUAGUUUAUUCCUUCAGUCCCCCACCCUUUGGAACUAAAUCUGGAACCCAUUCAGAAGAAGAUGCAGGACUUGCUGGUAAUUGCAAUUGAUUGAUUCACAUCAGCCAAAGCCACAUUAUAUAUGGAAGCAGGUGCUGAGUCUUAGAGGGCCAGUGGUGGGUUUGGGCCUUGGCAUGUACAGCUAUAUAAUCUGUACAAACUAUCAAUUCCAUGUCCAUCUGGGGCUGCAAGAGGAGAAGAGAGUUUGUCUCCUCCUUUUCAAGAGUUCCACUACAGGGACCACUUGCAUCUUCAAAGUUGCAGACAAUGGCUUCUGCCAAGGAGUGGGAGAGCCAUAGCAGCAUCAGGCAAUGUUCCUACAAGCCCCUCAAGAGCAAGAUGACAAUUGCGCUCUACCGGGCAUAGUAAAAGAACACAUUCACCAAUAUUUUUUACCGGGGGGGGAGGGGUAAUCUCUGUUUUAGACAGGCAUCCUCUGUGUCUUGUGCCAUAUAACCAUUAAUCCUCUUUUGGCCCCACUGAGGCUGCAAAUAUACCAAGCAUUGACCGCAGUGGGUCCACACUCUAGCCAGAAUCCUUUAAGAGAGAGGUCUGUCUUUGAAUUGUAUCACAGAAAAAAUAUGGAUAACAAAAGCAGAAGCAGCAUUGGUUUGCUUACUCCAUCCCAACAUCUCUGGUGAAGAAAGCUACCAGCAUCUCGGAGCUCCUCUGCCAACUCCAGAGAAUCCCAAGUGAGGGGUAUCAAUCCUCAGAAAUAGAAUGUUCCACUGAAGACUCUGAUGAACUCUGGAGGCUGCCCAGAAAGAAAGACUGCCUCAAAUCCUCCCACCCACUUUUCCCUAUCUUCCCCCACAUAUAUAAAAAUGGAAGUGUGUGUGUGUGUGUGUGAGUCUGUGUGUAUAUAAAAAUAACCUGCCCUGUCAUUCACUUCAAACCAUUUAUCCACCCAACAGAAACUCACCUAUUCUUGAUCUGGGUAGUAGGGAACACACAGUGUAGUAUACUCCCUUUGGCACAGAUCACUAUGGGACUUUGUCUCAAUCCAGUCCUGUUUUUUUGGUGUCACAGUAUCAUAUCCUUUAUAAUGAAGUACAAACCCAAAAUGUAUGCAAAUCUACCCACACGCAGAGUCCUUCUGACAGGGUCCUUGGAUUUUGGCAUAGAGAGUCCCUUUAAUGUUUAUUAUACUAUAUAUCUAGGAAAGUCCAAGAAAAAAAAGCAUUUUAAUCAUUAGUAUUGUCAAAGAAUAGUGCAAUUAUAUCAAACACUGUUUCCCUUUCAUGAUGUGUCAUAAUUAAGGUGACCAACCAUCCUCCUUUAGGGAGGACAGUCUUCCUUUUGUAAGUUCUGUCCUCCCUCAAAAAGUGUUCUCCUUCAUGUCCUCCUUUUCGAUAUCUGAAGACUAAUCUGCAGGGCU